rnacentral:rRNA from 1 species
UUUGACCCUAAAUCCGGAAGAUCCC